ACAGAUACAUAUGGGACAGGUAAACUCCAGCAGGUCAGCUCCUAGAAGAUCCAUCAGUAAAUGCCAGGAGAAAAGAAAUGCAAGAGCCACCUCAAAGUCCUCUGAGUUCAGUGGGAAUGAAACGCAAACGAAGGAAAGCCAGCUCACACAGAAGCGUCCGCACGAGAGCCACGCGAAGCAGCACAGGACGGAAGCAGCGGGCAUCUCUGAGGAAGCAGGGCCUCAAGGUUCCAACUGUCAAGAUGGUCCGGGAAGAAAUGGUCUCGCUCUCCACACCCCCAAAGUUGGCCCUGUGAGCAAGUCUAAUAGGACUUUUUUCAGUUUCAUAAAAUAUCUUGAUAACUGGAAAGUGCCAGUUAAUGGUAACCUGUUCCAACUAUGAAUUUCACAAAGAUUAAUAUACCCCUUUAGGUUUCUUAAGAUUCUAUCAGGAGGCCUCCCCUAGUCUAGGGUGUUUUACAAUCUCUGUGGGCACGAAGCUCAACUGAAACUACCAUUCAACAGCCUAACUGUCAUCUUCAUCUUCUCCUGGCAUAAAAAUACAUAUUUUUUUCCCAUAAUAAAGAUUUUUUAUAAUAGCAAUAAAGUAACUCCAGAGAACAUGGUUGUCUUGAGAUAGUUUAACUGUGUCUGGUACCUCAUAACGCCCUGGGGAUACAGCAGGCCCAUAAUACUCCCUUUCGCUGCCAUGUCUUUGCUUAAUUAAGGAAUAAAGCCAAAAGGUCAAGGCUGGAGAAAAAUGUAAAUCUUCAAAACUUUUCAUUCUUGACCCAAACUCUGUGUCAUAAAACCUCAGUUAUCUCUGUAACAAGCAGCACACCUACCCAGUGAGUUAGGAGAUACCCGAAUAUACAUUACAUCUUUAAAAUAUGCUUUUAACACAAUGGAAAUAAAUUCCUGACCUCUGGGCUUGGAAUUAUGAUUCUGCCUUCUUAG
ensembl:lncRNA